AUUAAAGAUGAAGAGGAGGAGGAGAAGAUUGGGAAAUCUGUUAAUCAUGGAGACCAUGUUGAGACAUUCUCUACAUCCAGAGAGCAUCAGCAGGAAAAUCACAGAGCAAAGAGGUCUCACCACUGCUCACAUUGUGAGGAGAUUUUCCCAUUUCUAUCAAAGCUAAAAAUACACCUAAAAAUACACACAGGAGAAAAGCUUUACUCCUGCUCUGAAUGUGGAAAAUGCUU